rnacentral:rRNA from 1 species
GUAGGUGGCAAGCGUUGUCCGGAAUUAUUGGGCGUAAAGCGCGCGCAGGCGGUCCUUUAAGUCUGAUGUGAAAGCCCACGGCUCAACCGUGGAGGGUCGUUGGAAACUGGGGGACUUGAGUACAGAAGAGGAAAGCGGAAUUCCAAGUGUAGCGGUGAAAUGCGUAGAGAUUUGGAGGAACACCAGUGGCGAAGGCGGCUUUCUGGUCUGUAACUGACGCUGAGGCGCGAAAGCGUGGGGUGCAAACAGGAUUAGAUACCCUGGUAGUCCACGCCGUAAACGAUGAGUGCUAAGUGUUAGGGGGGUUUCCCGCCCCCUUAGUGCUGCAGCUAACGCAUUAAGCACUCCGCCUGGGGAGUACGGCCGCAAGGCUG